GGAUUUUCCUCGGAUCAGGUAGGGAUACCCGCUGAACUUAA
rnacentral:rRNA from 1 species